rnacentral:misc_RNA from 1 species
CUUCAGAAAAAGGGAGCCAUCAUUCUGCCUCCUCUUUCUUUCAAACUCAAGGUGAUUAGGGCAUAUGCUGUUAAUAAAGCUUGGGUCAUAGGUUUCCUAAUGGAUAUAAGUGGAGCAAUGUUAAUGUUGAGGGCAUUAUCUCAAGCUCCUGUAUCUGUCAUCCAACCAGUUUCUGGAUGUGGUCUUGCCAUUCUUUCUGUCUUCUCCCAUUUUUAUCUAAAA